UACGUAGGGAGCAAGCGUUGUCCGGAAUCAUUGGGCGUAAAGGGUGUGUAGGUGGUUGUGUUAGUCUUCUGUUAAAUUCUUCGGCUUAACCGGGGGCAUGCAGGGGAAACGGCACAACUAGAGGAUGCGAGAGGUGAACGGAACUCAUGGAGUAGGGGUGAAAUCCGUUGAUAUCAGGAGGAACACCGGUGGCGAAGGCGGUUCUCUGGGCCUUACCUGACGCUGAGGAGCGAAAGCGUGGGGAGCAAACAGG
rnacentral:rRNA from 1 species